CCUUAACCUGGCCUUGACAUACUAAGAACUUUCCAGAGAUGGAUUGGUGCCUUCGGGAACUUAGAUACAGGUGCUGCAUGGCUGUCGUCAGCUCGUGUCGUGAGAUGUUGGGUUAAGUCCCGCAACGAGCGCAACCCUUUUCCUUAUUUGCCAGCGGGUUAAGCCGGGAACUUUAAGGAUACUGCCAGUGACAAACUGGAGGAAGGCGGGGACGACGUCAAGUCAUCAUGGCCCUUACGGCCAGGGCUACACACGUGCUACAAUGGUCGGUACAAAGGGUUGCUACCUCGCGAGAGGAUGCUAAUCUCAAAAAAGCCGAUCGUAGUCCGGAUCGCAGUCUGCAACUCGACUGCGUGAAGUCGGAAUCGCUAGUAAUCGCGGAUCAGAAUGCCGCGGUGAAUACGUUCCCGGGCCUUGUACACACCGCCCGUCACACCAUGGGAGUUUGUUGCACCAGAAGUAGGUAGUCUAACCGCAAGGAGGACGCUUACCACGGUGUGGCCGAUGACUGGGGUGAAGUCGUAACAAGGUAAGCGUAGAUGA
rnacentral:rRNA from 1 species